rnacentral:rRNA from 1 species
UCCUACGGGAGGCAGCAGUAAGGAAUAUUGGACAAUGGGCGAAAGCCUGAUCCASCCAUCCCGCGUGGAGGAUGACUGCCCUACGGGUUGUAAACUCCUUUUAAUCAGGACGAAACCCCAAGAUUUAUCUUGGGCUGACGGUACUUUUUGAAUAAGCACCGGCUAAUUCCGUGCCAGCAGCCGCGGUAAUACGGAAGGUGCAAGCGUUAUCCGGAAUCACUGGGUUUAAAGGGUGCGUAGGCGGCGUAAUAAGUCAGAGGUGAAAGCUCACAGCUUAACUGUGGAACUGCCUUUGAUACUGUUAUGCUUGAAUUAGGUUGAGGUUGGCGGAAUGUGACAUGUAGCGGUGAAAUGCAUAGAUAUGUCAUAGAACAUCGAUUGCGAAGGCAGCUGGCUAGACCUUAAUUGACGCUGAGGCACGAAAGCGUGGGGAGCGAACAGGAUUAGAUACCCUGGUAGUCCACGCCCUAAACGAUGCUUACUCGUUGUUUGACUUUCGGGUUGAGCGACUAAGGGAAACCGUUAAGUAAGCCACCUGGGGAGUACGUUCGCAAGAAUGAAACUCAAAUGAAUUGACGG